UACGUAGGGGGCAAGCGUUGUCCGGAUUUAUUGGGCGUAAAGAGCGUGUAGGCGGCCAGACAGGUCUGCUGUGAAAACUCGAGGCUCAACCUCGAGACGCCGGUGGAAACCGUCUGGCUAGAGUCCGGAAGAGGAGAGUGGAAUUCCUGGUGUAGCGGUGAAAUGCGCAGAUAUCAGGAGGAACACCGGUGGCGAAGGCGGGUCUCUGGGCAGUAACUGACGCUGAGGAGCGAAAGCGUGGGGAGCGAACAGG
rnacentral:rRNA from 1 species